rnacentral:lncRNA from 1 species
UUUUUUUUUUUUAUUAAUAAAAGACAUAUGUGACACACCACUCAGAGCUUUCAGUGGGGAGAAAACGAGUUUCCCCCACUAGGUUAAUAGAAUUCCACCCAGAGGCAGACAGUUAGCAAACCACCUUCUCGGGCUGUGGCUGGGAAUCGCGCUACACUUGACAGCCCUUUCCAUGGGCCUCCCCGGCCCGCCUGCCCUCGGCCCCGAAGUCAGGGGAGACAGGGGCCAUUUCAGCUGCUCGCGCUCGCUUGCCUUCCCGUCCCUGCCGGAGUCAGCAGACCCUGACUUCUGGAGAAGCGUUGCUGCGAUGUGUCAGCUGCUCGGGGAGAGGCUGGAGUGAUGGAUUCCAAGAGCUGUCAGGAGAAAGGGUUUACGACUAUGAGCAAUCUGAUGCUAGUCCCGAUGUCUUGGUUAUCUCUUGUGUAUCCAGCACCCAAGGGAAGGAGCAUCCCAUGGCUACAACUCUCAAGCAUCGAAAUGGAACCUGUGAGAGUUCUUCACCCCACAGGGAACUCCUUCCACCAAACUUAGGGGAGCGAGAAAGGGGUUGUAAGGACUUGCCUUUGUAUCUCCCCAGCCCCUGCACAGGGCUGGAUUUGCAUAUGUUAAUAUGGAGAACUGCAACUAUUUAAUGAGAAGCAGUGGGCCACGUGGGUGAGCAGAAUUCCUUAGAGUAUUUUUUUCAGAUGUCUUAAUUCACUCUCUCUUUGUUGUAUUUCAGCAGAUCCAGGUAUUUGCACUGAGUUGGUCCUGGUCCCCACUCCUGUCCCCCAAAUCUCUGAAACCACAGAUCUCAUUAGAUGCCAGGCUCAGCCUUGUGUUUGGAGGGUGAUGGUGGGCGGAGUGCUCUGCCUACCUGGAAGCAAUGCCAGGAUGGCUGGAGGUAGCCUACUCCAGGCCAAGGAGCCCCAGCCCAGAGGUUGGGCGGGGACGUGCCUGAGGGGGGUGGGGAGGAAAGGAUAGAAUUCCAAAGAGGAGAACCCUAGAUGGAGAGAGCCCUCUGGGCUUUCAGCCCUUCAUCUGGGUUCCACUAAAAACACAUUUUGCGUGUUUCUGUUGUUCUUAAGUCUGGGUUUAUUUCAAGGGGAAAGUUAUAAAGAGACAUCUCUCCCUUUAUUUCAACAGCAGCUUGUGCUUGGGUAGAUUCUCAUUUGUCUUGUCUGUCCUGCCUGGAGGUAAAAGGAGUAGGUUGGGGUGGGGGUCCCAAGAGGCCCCAGGAGACCAAGGCCUCAGGCUGUGCUUGCCUCCAGUGUGUUAGACCAGUAGGUCUGUCACAGGUUCUGACCUUCCAGCUGAUAGCAACACACACCGCCAGAUGAGAGACUUGGGGGGUUGAGAAUGAAAGGAAGGGACUUGGGGAAGCACAGAACAAGGAGAGGCCUGGUGAGGUGGCCCCACCUGGGAAACAUCCACAGACAGACAGGCAAGUGACCAUCCCCAUGGCUGUUUGAGAGCCUUCCUCUCUGAACCCAGGGCAGCAUCUGUCAGGUAGCCACCCAAGUGAGGCAGGGUUUUGCCCAGGUCGGAAGCCAGAGGUAGCAUCCAGUCUCCCUAAGAAUUCAGGUCCCAAUCCAGUCUGAGAAUCCCGAAGAGGACCCAGAGCCCUUGAAUCAGUCCAUACCUCAGAGACACAAAGAAGAAAUGUCAGCGCUUGAAAGGCCCUUAGCCGUGUAACCCACUGCCCUCAUUUCACAGAUGAGGAAACAGGCCCAGGGAGGGAAAGCUCCUUGCCUAGGGCACACAGUGGGUCAGCGAUGGGCUGGUCCUGCAGCCCGGGCCUCAGUGUUCUCUGCACUUUUCUACUUUUCCACCCUGCUGCUUACAAGGGUAGGCAAAUGGCCACGUCUCCACGGAGGGAUCCAAGGGUGCUAAUAAACAUGCCCACUCAUGGACUCACACGCAUACGUGCACAGAACGUGUACACUGGCCCUCGGAUCCCAUCAGCUGAGCUUGCCAGGGCUCCCCCAGAUAUAACCUGGGUCUCUCCUCCAGGGUCAUCUUGGGCAUUCAGGCUCCAGGCAGAUGUAGGACUCAGGACACCAUGGUGGAUGGUCCUGUCUGCACAGAGCUGGUGCCAGACACAAAGAGAACUUGAGGCCCAGCACCCAGGCCCUGGCCUUCACCCACCAGCGAGAAAUUCUUGCAGAGCCCUCUCUUGCUCUGAGACGGGCCUCUGCAAUGACUCAAGUCGACUUGCUUAAGAAGGACUUGAUUGCCACCUGGUGGCCAUAUCUGACAUCUCACCCCAGUAUCACAGUCCAUUCAUUUAUCAAAGAUGUAUUGAGCCCCUGCUGUGAGCCAGGGAAGAAAUAUUUACUCUUGUUGAAUGAAUGAACAUCCCCUACCCCCAAGAAGAGGUCAGUCCACUGUAGAAGACUGAUAUGCAAAGCAACAGUUACAAUACAGGCUGAUUAGUGUAAUUAUAGAGGUGAGCUUAGGAUACAAUGGAAGCUAAAAUAAAAGGGAGGGGGAGUGGGAGAGGGUGUUAGUCCAGCUUCUAUGUAAGGAGCCUAAGGAAGAUUCCACCAGGGGCGUGGGUUGACAUGCUUCCCGGGGUAUGCAUAAGCAAUCAAUAAUUACAUUCAUUUGUCUAAGAGUUUUCAUUUUACCAAAAGAUUGCACUUGCAUUUCCCAGUUCAUCCUCCCAGUAGCGCCAUGAAGUGUGUAUAAUUGUCCCCAUUUUACAAAGGAGGACACUGAGGCUUGGAGGAGACAGUGGAGCACAGUUGAGCUCUGGAAGCAGCACAGUGAUGCGUGGUGAGCCUCAGCCGGCGCAAAUGCAAGCUGGAGGGUCCUGGGUUCAGUGGCUAUGUCACAGCCUCAUCACAGACCUGAAAAUGGUGGGCAUGAGAGGCAGACGUGUAAUUUCCUCUUUACUACCGCCAGUCAUGUGAUUACAGCCGAGCUCAGGAGGGCCGGGUGAGCAUUGCAGAAAGGCUGUAGCUAGAUAGGAUCCCUAGAGCCAGAGCAGGGUUGGGGAGUGCAACUCUAGGAAAAGCUUCAUUUUCCACACCCACUCCACUCCCAAACAUAAGCUGAAGGUCCCAGUGAACUCCGUUAAAGAAGAAUGAAAAGUCUGAUGCAGCUAUUUAAAAACAGGCAGGCGUCAAGUGGCCAAUGGCAGUCGAGUGCAGCCGGGGCAGCGCUCGGGAAAAUCAUCCACCACCGUCAGCCCUGGAGAGGCAGACCUGGGGUUCCCCGCAGAAGCGGGUGCGGGUCCAUGUAGGCUACCCCGUCAUCUUUGUGCCACGGAGCUAGUUCAUCACGGGGCCUUGCUGAUUCCUUCCCCAGCACGCCUCAACAAUCCCGCUGCUCUCCUGAGACCCAAGCCCUUUCACUCUUUGCUUAGAAGUCCAGCUUUGUUUCCAAACUGUUUUCCCUUUCUCUUCUCCCUACAGCCUCCCUUGACAGGGCAGCUUUAGUGUCCGUGCUUCCCAGAACCAGUGCUGCAUGCUCACCUGCUGGACUCCCCCAGGAUGUAUAGACAUCUCAUAAGAGUGGGGGCUGCCUCUGGGAAGGGACUGGAAAAAGGCUAAGGGGAAGGAGCUCGGGGGCUGGCAAGCCCGGAUGCGACAAAGCACCGAGGUGGGCUUGAAUAUGGAUUUUUCUCCCCAGAACAUCCCUGGGAAUCAUUUCUGUCAGAUGCUUCACUGGAUGUCCCUUGGUCUUUACAGCCAUCUAUCCUCCUUCUCCAACCCCCACCUCGAAUUGCAACUUGCUAUUUUAAUUAUAGUUUCUCUUGCCACACUUGGGUUGUUUUUUUUUUCUCUUCUCAGUCUUCUACCUCGCUUAGAUUUUAAUCCCUUCUUCCAGUGCAGAAAAUUCAUUAAGAUUUCUAGAUUCCUCCCAAUUUGCUUCCUUGAUGUUGAAUAAUUCUUAGUCUAUGUAUGAUGCUGAUUGUUCAGAUGUUGAAUUAAGUUGCUAAGCAGUGGGGCCAGGAGGCCCUG